UAACACGGGGGGAGCAAGCGUUGUUCGGAAUCACUGGGCGUAAAGGGCGUGUAGGCGGUCAAGUAAGUGGAAUGUGAAAUCCCUCGGCUCACCCGAGGACCUGCAUCCCAAACUGCUUGGCUUGAGUAUGGGAGAGGAUGAGGGAAUUCCUGGUGUAGCGGUGAAAUGCGUAGAUAUCAGGAGGAACACCGGUGGCGAAGGCGCUCAUCUGGCCCAAUACUGACGCUGAGGCGCGAAAGCUAGGGGAGCAAACGGGAUUAGAUACCCCGGUAGUCCUAGCCGUAAACGGUGAUCACUAGGUGUUGGAGGCAUCGACCCCUCCAGUGCCGCAGCUAACGCAUUAAGUGAUCCGCCUGGGGAGUACGGCCGCAAGGUUG
rnacentral:rRNA from 1 species